rnacentral:lncRNA from 1 species
CACCUGGCAAGAGAAUGCCCUUAAAAGGGGAUAUUUUGUAUCCACUUCCUCUCUUUUCCUACAGGAUAGAAGGUGGAUGUUGCAGGGAGACUGUUCUGACCACGUGGCUUGAUUAGAGUUCCCUGAGGGAUGUCAGAACAAUGGAGCAGGAGGCAUCCGAGGCCCUGGAUGACUUCAUGGAGUGGAGCUACUCACCCUCUCCGAACCACUUGUCUACUUCCAGAAAGCGAUGUCAAAGAGAAGAUAGGCCUGCCUGGAUGAUCAAAACAGAUGGAAAAGAGGCAUAUGGGGCAAUAAUCCUGUUCCUUCGCCUCCUGAGAGACCUCAGCAGAUAAUGUGCAAAAUUUAGAAUGCUUUGGGCAAGGAUAAUAAGCAUGCCCCAUCUCUAUCUGUAAAUGUUCUCUUGGUUUGGACUGAAAAGAUACAGCCAAGAAGAUAAAGAGGAAGAGACAAAAGAAAAGUCCAUGUGUACUUAAUGUUUACCAGUGC